UACGGAGGGUGCGAGCGUUGUCCGGAAUCACUGGGCGUAAAGGGCGCGUAGGCGGCGCGGGAAGUCAUCGGUGAAAGCUCAGGGCUCAACUCUGAGUCGGCCGGUGAUACUCUCGUGCUUGAGCACUGUAGAGGCAGGUGGAAUUCCGGGUGUAGCGGUGGAAUGCGUAGAGAUCCGGAAGAACACCGGUGGCGAAGGCGACACGCUGGGCCGUACCUGACGCUAAAGCGCGACAGCAUGGGGAGCAAACGGG
rnacentral:rRNA from 1 species